AAAGUACACCUGUCCUAAUAUUACUCAGCACUGUUAUGUACUCAGGGGCUUUUAAAAUAUAUUAUAAAAAGAUUUCCACGUUAAACACCAAGUUCACAAUUUUUCUAUAUAUAUAUGUGUUCCGAUUGUAAAACAGAAACGGAUCUUACUAUAGUGAAUCGAUUAAACUCUUUUGGAACUCCUCGGAUAUUACUGAAAAUUGAAAAUGGCGAACCGGACAGUAAAAGACGCUCAUUCCGUUAAAGGAACAAAUCCACAGUAUUUGGUGGAGAAGAUCAUAAGGACUCGAAUAUAUGAAUGCAGAUAUUGGAAGGAAGAAUGUUUUGCAUUGACUGCUGAAUUGAUGGUUGACAAGGCAAUGGAAUUGAAAUAUAUUGGUGGAGUUUAUGGUGGAAAUGUCAAACCAUCACCUUUCCUAUGUUUGGUCUUAAAAAUGCUCCAGAUUCAGCCAGAGAAAGACAUCGUUGUGGAGUUUAUCAGAAAUGAAAAUUUUAAAUAUGUCAGGGCUUUGGGAGCAUUUUACAUGAGACUGACAGGAACUACCUUGGAUUGCUUCAAGUACCUGGAGCCACUGUACUAUGAUUACAGAAAGUUGAAGAUACAAAAUAGAGAAGGAGAAUUCCAUUUACUCCACAUGGAUGAGUUUGUUGACAGCUUACUAAGAGAUGAACGAGUGUGUGACAUCAUUCUCCCUCGAAUUCAGAAACGACAUGUCCUAGAAGAGAACAAUCAAUUGGAAAGCAGAGUCAGUGCGUUAGAUGAAGACUUGGAAGACAUGGAAUCAGAUGAAGAGGAACCCAUGGAAAGAAGUCCCUCUCCUGUUGAUAGACGGAAAUCAGACAGGAGUUCUCCAUCCAGACAUCGCCGAUCCCCCUCCCCACGCAGCAGAGACAGAAGGAAACGGUCAAGGUCUCGAGACAGAGAGAAACGACAUCGAUCCAGAUCUCCCACAGGUUGUAUUUACCAAAGUUUACACAAACUGAAUGCUUGUUUGUUUGUGGGGUUUUUUUUACAAUCCAGUAUUUAAUAUAAAAUGUAUGCAAUGUAUUCUGACUUUAGAAUAGUAUAUUGUAACAAUUAUUUUUUUUUUCUAAUUUCAGAUAAAAGACACAGAGAUGAUGAUCGAAAGAAAAGUAAAAAGCAUCGUCAUGAACACAAGAGUCGUGACAAGGACAGAGAUCGGGAGAAGCGGAGUCAUCGCAGUAGUCGGCACCACAAGGACGACAAAGACCGCAGCAGGGACAAGGACAGAGACAAGGGCGGAUCAAGGUCGGACUCCAAGGGCGACCUCAGUGUAGCAGAGACCAACGAACUCCGGGCAUCCCUCGGACUACCACCUUUAAAAUAACCUUCGUCAGUAGUGCCCCAGUUGUGAACUUAUAAUGCUGUUGUUUAUGAAGAGUCCAAGGUUAAUGUUCAUUAUGGAGAAUUCGGACUUUGUUUUAAGAAAGGGAGACAAAUUCAACUUUAUAAGAUAAUAUUUAUUCAGGUAUUGUCAAUAACAAAAAACAAUGAAAUUUAAGCUUAGCUUGAUUCAUUUAUAAAGUUUUAACAACCUGAUACAUUGAAAAGUCUGUACUUUGCCAUACUUUGGGUGGAGUGCAAUACAUUGUAAUAAAUGUGCUUCAUACGAAAUGU
rnacentral:misc_RNA from 1 species